CCCCAAAAAAAUAAUAAAAUAAAUAAAAAAUAAAAAAAUAAAAAAAAAGAAACAGUUUAAUUUUUUUAGGGUAGCAUUAGGUCCACAGCAAAAUUGAGAGGCAGGUACAGAUUCCCAUGUCUCCCUGCCCCGUGCACACCCCCCCCACCCCCCCUGCCGUUAUCAACCUCCUCUGCCAGCUGAGCCAUUCAUUACUUCUCAACCUACGACGACAGCUCAUCACGGAGGCCACGGUUUGCCCUAGGGUUUGCUCCUGGUGGUGGACGUUCGGUGGGCUUGCUGUUGGACAAGGGUAUAAUAGAAUGUAUCCACCACGACGGGGCCGCACACAGUAUUCUCACGCCCGUAAGAAUCCCCUGUUCAUCCUCACCGAGCCCUGGCAACACUGAUCCUUUGCUGUCUCCUUGGUUUUGCCUUGUCCGGAUGCCAUACGGUUGGAAUCAUGCGGCCCGUGGCCUUUCCAGGGCGGCUGCUCUCACUUAGUGAUACGCAUCCAAGGUUCUUCCGCGUCUCUUCGGGGCUUGACGGCUCACUUCCUUUUCUUUCCCAGCCUUACGGAGUUAUAGUCGGCAUUGUGUGAGUUUAAGGUGAAUGUGUGUUGAUGCGGAACUUUGAUGGAGGUGUCAGCUUUUGCAUUACAUUCACAUAAUUAGCAUUAUUUGUGGUGAAAACAGUCAAGAUUUACUCUCUUCCAGCUUGCAAGUUUACUCUGUAGUAUUAACUAUAAUUGCCAUGCUGUACCUCAGAUCCCCAGAAUUUACCUUCUAACUGGAAGUCUGGCCCUUUGACCAACUUCUCCCUACUUCCCCCAGCCCCCGAGCCUCUGAUAACCACCAUUCUUUCUCUGAGUUCACUCUGCCUCUGAGUUAUUUUUUGUUUGUAAGAUUCCACAUAUGAGUGAGAUCAUACAGUAUUUGUUUUUCUCUGACCUUUUUUUUUUUUUUAGCUUAAUGCCCUCAGGGCCCAUCCAUGUUGUUGAAAAUGGCAGCAUUUUCUUCUUUUCUUGAGGCUGAACUCCAUUGUCCACACAUCUUUGUCCACUCACCCGCCCGUGGACACUUAGGCUGUUAACGUGUCUUGACUGUUGCGAAUAAUGCUUCAGUGAACGUGGGAGUGGAGACACUUCUCUGAGACCGUGUUUCAUUCCCUCUGGAAAUACACCCAGAAGUGGACCGUUGGACCAUAGGGUAGUUCAGUUGUUAACAUUCCGAGGAGGCCCCAUGCUGUUUUCCAUGGCAACCCUAGUGAUUUCAUUUCCCACCAGCAGUGCACCAAGGCUCCCUUCUCUCCGCAUCCUCACCGACAUUUGUUAUCUCCACUGGUUUUGACGAUGACCAUCCUAACAGGUGUGAGGUGAUGUCUCGUUGUGGGUUUGACUUGCAUUUCCCUGAUGCUGAGUGAUGCUGAGCAUCUUUUCACGUACCUGCUGGCCAUCUGGAUGUUUUCUUGGAGAAAACAUUUAUUCACUUCUUUUGCCCAGUUUUAAAUUGACUGUUUUGGGUUUGAGUUGUAGGAGUUCUUUAUAUAUAUUAACACCCCCUUAUCAGAUAUCUGAUUCAUGAAUGUUUUUUUUUCAUUCUGUAGGUUGUCUUUGAUUUUGUGGAUUUUCAUUUGCUGCACACAGCUUUUCAAUUUGUUGUAAUCCCGCUUAUUAAUUUUCACUUUUGUUGCUUGUGAUUUUAGUUUCCUAGACAAAGCAUCAUUACCAAGACCAAUGUCAGGGUGCUUCUUCACUGUGUUCCCUUCUGUCGUAGACUCUGGGUCUGGAGUUCUCUCUUGUCCAGCAAGAGAGUGGACGCAGGAUUGAAAUGUGAGAGAGGCUAAUGUCCGGGAGGAGACAAGAGACUUGAGUAAAGGUUCUUGCUCCAUUUUUAUUAGGUUCAGAAGGCUUACAAGCGUAAUGGACGUGCACAGAGAGACAAUAAAACCAUGAAUGGUAACUCAUAGAUAUGAGGGAAAGAGGGUUUUGAAGGUAUGCGGUCUUAGGGGUUUGGGUCAAUACAAAACAAAGUCUGGUGCUGGGCAGAUGGUUGUUUGCAGCAGGCAUGAGGCACCACAUCUGUUUAUCUUAGCUAGCUUGGGGGAUGAGAGGGAGAUGCUACCUCAGGGUCAACAAGGCGCCUUUCUGUCACUAAUUAGCUCCUCUCUGGGCAACUUCAUACCGUAGAGGUCUAAAGUCCUAUUUACCUGUUUACCUAUUUUGGUCCUUCCUUCCUGUGAAAGCGGCUUUCUGCUGUUGUACUAAGUUGGGAAGCAUUUCCGCCCUGCAUACCUAAUCUUGUUUACCUCAUCUUGGAGGUUUUCAUCCUGAGAUUUCUUAUUCCUAUACCUUUGUCCUAUACUGGCAGCCUUUGCCCUGUUUACCUCAUCUUGGACGCAUACAUCCUGUGGCUUUCUACUUCUUUAUGCCUUAUUGACCCAUUGGUGCAAGCUCAGGGGAUCCCUAAGCCUGUUCCCCACACCCUUCCGGAAGGUUUCCGUGGUUUCAGGUAUUCUGCAUCACUAAUCAGCUUCACAUUAUUUGGUGGAUGGUGUAAGCUAGGGGUCCAGUUUUGUUCUUGUUCACGAGGCUAGACAGCUUUCCCAACACGGUUGAUUGAAGAGACCAGCCUUUUCCCAUUGAGUAACCUUGGUUCUUCUGUCAAAUAUGAGUUGACUGUAUAUGCAAGGGUGUGUUUCGGUGCUCUGUUCCAUUCCAUUAUUGGUCGGUGUGUUGAAUUUUAGAUCAGUGCCAUGUUUUAAUCACUACAGCUUUGUAUUUUAACUUGAAAUCAGGAAGUGUGAUGCCUUCAGGUCUGUUCUUUUCUCAGGAUUGUCUUGACUCUUAAGGGUCUUUUGUGCUUCCAUAUGUUUACGGAUUUUUUUUUCUAUUUAUGUGAAAAAUGACAUUCAAAUUUUGAUAGGGAUGGCCUUAUAGAUGGCUUUGUGUGGUAUGGCCAUUUUAACAACAGUAAUUUUUCUGAUCCACGAACACAGAACAUCUUUCCAUUUGUGUCUUUUUCAGUUUCCUCCUGGGUCUUACAGUUUUCAUUGUGCAGAACUUUCACCUCCUUGGCUAAAUUUAUUCCUAAAUAUUUUCUUGGUUUUGGUGCCAUUGUGAAUGGGAUACUUCUCUUUAUUUGCUUUUUGGAUAUUUCAUUGGUAGUGUCUAGAAACACAGCUGAUUUCUGUGGGUUGAUUUUGUAUCUGGAAACUUAAUUCACUGGUUCUAAUUUUUUUUGUUGGAGUCCUUCAGAUCUUUUGUGUUUCAGAGCAUAUCGUCUAUAAAGACAAUUUUACUUCUUUUUCAAUUUGGAUGCCUUUUAUUUCUUUUUCUUGCCAGACUGCUCUGGUUGAGAGUUCCAGUGCUGUGUUGAACAGGAGUGUGAGAGUGGGCAUCCUGUCCUGACGGUAGAGGAAAAGCUUUAACCUUCACUAUUGAGUAUGAUGUUCACCGUCGGCUUGUCGUAGGUCACCUGUAUUAUGUUGAGGUAUGUUCUGUACCCAGUUUGUUGAGGGAUUUUAUCAUGAAAGGAUAUUGUAUUGUGCCAAAUGUGUUUUCUGCAUCUGUUGAUAUGAUUGUAUGGUUUUUAUCUUCAUUCUUUUAACGUGCAGCUUCAGGUUUAUUGGUUUGUGUAUGUUGAACCCAUCCUGGCAUCCCAGGGAUGAAUCAUAGUAUAUCAUAAUGUCUGAUCCUUUUAGUUGUGCUGAUGGAUUCAGUUUGCUAAUAUUUUGUUGAGACUUUUUGCAUCUGUGUUUAUUAGGAAUAUUGGUCUGUAGUUUUCUUUCCUUAUAUUAUCCUUACUUGCCUUUAGCCAGGUAAUGCUGGCCUUGUAAAAUGAGUUUGGGAGUGUUUUCUCCUCUUGAAGUUUUUGCAAGAAUUUGAGAAAGACUGGUGUUGAUUUCUCUUCAAAUGUUUGGUAGAAUUCACCAGGAAAGUCAUCUGGUCCCGGGCUUUUCUGUGUUGAUAGGUUUUUGGUCACUGAUUAAAUCUCUUCUUAUUGGUCUGUUCCUGUUUUUUAAUUCAUUUUGAUUCAAUCUUGGUAGGUUGUGUGUAUCUAGGAAUUUGUCCAUACUUCUAGGUUAUCUAGUUUGGUGGUUUCCAAUUAUUCGUAGCAGUCUCUUAGGAUCCUUUUUAUUAUUGAGGUAUCUAUCGUAAUGUCUCUCCAUUUCUGAUUUUGAGUCUUAGCAUCACUAAAUAUUUGUCAAUUUUGUUUAUCUUCGUUAAUUUUCAUUGUUGGGGGGGACAAAAACAAGGGCUGUCUUAGGCCGCCAUGGUGACAUACCUUCAAACUCAUUUCUUUUUAUCACCGAACAAUAUUCCAUUUUCUGUAUGUUCCACAGUUUACCUGUUCACUUGCUGAAGAACAUCUUUGUUGCUUCUAAGGCGAGGCAGUUAUGACUAAAGAUGCUAUAAUUGUGUGCAGGUUUUGUGUGGACAUAAAUUUUCAACUCCAGUGGGUAGAUACCAGGGAGCUUGCUGGACUUAGGCCAAGACUGUGCUUAGUUUUUUAAGAAACCACCAAACUGUCUUCCAGAGUGGUUGCACCAUUUUGCAUCCCUGCCAGCCAUGAGCAAGAGUUCUGGCUUCGCCAUGUCCUCUCCAGAAAUUGGUGUUGUCUGUGAUCUGUGCUUUCUGGACUUGGGCUGUUCUGCAGGUGCCUAGUGAUAUGUGUUUAUUUGCUUUUCUCUGACGGAUGAUGCGGGGCAUUUUUUUAAAUGCUUAUUUGCCAUCAGUCUGUCUCCUUUGGUGAGGUGUCUCUUCUAGUCAGUGACCCAUUUUUUCAUUGGGUUGUUUGUGACCGUUGAGUUUCAAGAAGUCUUUGUAUAUGUAUCUUGGUGACAAAAUCCCGUGUCCGGGGUGGUUUUCCUUCCCCAUGUGACAGUGUUCUUCAUGGAACAAAAGUUUGAAAACUUAAUUCCAGCUUAUCAGUUAUUUCCUUCACUGCUGAAAAGUCCUCGCCUUGCCCAAGGUCACCUGCGUUUUCUCCUGAGUUUCUUCUAGAAACUUUAUAGAGUUUUGCACUUCAGGCCUAUGAUCCUUUUUGAGUCAGUCUUCAUGAGACGUGUGAGGUCUGCAUCAGGCUCGUUCAUUUUCCUAGGAGGACGUCCGGGUGUUCCAGCACAUUUGUUGCCAGAACUGCCCUUGCUCCAAUGCUUGCUUUCCUUCCUGUGUCAGAGGCGGACUGGCGGUGUUCAUGUGGGUCGACUGCUGGGUCCUCUUCUGUCCUAUUGAUGUGUGUGUGUUCUCCCCAACGCCACACUGUGUGAGUACUGGAGUAUUUCAGUACAUCUCCAAGUUAGGUAGGCAGUCCUCCCCUCCUCCCCUCCUCUUCAUCCUCACCCCUCCUCCUCCUCCUCCCCCUCCCUGCUGUGACUCCAGGCCACCUUUAACGCACACCAUUGUUGCUGGCUUUCCCCCUCUGCCUCUUGCCCAUGAGAAGCCAUCCACUGGCGCAGCAGGGUCGCUGGGGCGCACCUGAGUCCGGCAGGGUUGGGACCCGUAACCCUGUCCCAAGGAGGAGAUGCCGAUAAAAACAGUGGGACCCGUCCCGGUCCCUUUCCUAAAAGAGAGCGUCCCCGAUCGUCUCCAGGAUGACCCGUCUGUCUUCCUUCUACUGAAGUUUACGUCACAAACCCCAAGUGCACGACGCAGCAGAUUUUCACAGUGAGCACCGGGUGGGACCUGCGCUCGGGUCAGAAACGAGGCCGCCCGCGGACAGGACCCCGCGGCCUUUCCUCUGGCAUCGGCAGGUGCGGAGGCCCCGCAGAAACACCUGCCCCGUGUGUCUGGCAACAGUAGCCGGAAGCAGUGGGCUGGAAACGUCCCAGGGCCUUCAAACGAGUGGGGCGGCGCUUCUGCAGGAGAAGGGGCCGGGUCUGGGCCGGGUGGGCUCCAGCGACAGGUGUGCCGGGACUCUUCCCACCGGCCCUCGUUGCUGGUGACUCGGGCUGUGUCUACAUCACUUCACGUCCACCCUUAUUCCUGAGGAGUCCGUUCCAGAAAAACCGGUUAGAACCCAAGGAGGGGGUGCUCAGCGUCCCCGCAUGGGCACUUCCACGGGCGCUGGGAGCAGCCAGCCGCGAGCCCCUCUGUCAGACUGAGCAGAUGCUGCACAUUCGCCUGCUCUCCCCCGUGGAUUGUGGGUGGUUUCUGUGACACGUGCUCCUGCCCGGCUUGGGGUCCUUCGCCUCCGUCCCCACAGCCCCUCGCCGAGGCUCCUGCGGUGGGGGGGGGGGGGGGAAGCAGCCUUGUGUGAAGGCCCGUGUGGUGCUGGAAGCAGAAGAGCGGCUUCAGGGCCAUCUGCACGCGGUCUCAGGGGGAACAGAGCGCCAUGUCCCCGGAUUCCUAAUGCCGCGUGGCCUUGUGUCUCUGCAGCGGGGCGGCCCCAGGCCUCUUUGGGCCGCAGGACAAGCCCGGGGUCCGACGGCGGUGGGGAACUCGGACACCGCGUGAUCGGAGCCUGGAAAGAAAACCCCAGCCAGAUGCGGCCCGCCGAGCAGGAAACCCUGAAGUCUCCGACGGGAAACCACCGUCAGCGCUGACACACUCAGGAAGGCGGCAGGACACAAAUCAACAGGCAGACGUCACUUGCGUUUCGGAUUAAGGAAACGAUUCCUUUUAAAAUGGCGUCAAAAAGAGUAAGACAUUUAGAAACAAGUUAGGCCAACGAGACAGGAGACUUGUUCACGGGAACUACACCGUGUUACUGAACGACCACGGAAGGCGUUAAUACGCGGACAGAUGUCCCGCGUUCACGGCCGGGUGACGGGACGCCGCUAGGACGACAGUGUUCCCGAAAUGCUGGUUCCUCCGCAGGUUCACUGCCAUCACCCCCGAAGCCCUGGACACUUUUUUUGUAGAUACAGAAAAAUACAUUCCCAAUUUCAUGCGGCGUUUCAAGGGACCCGGAGUACCCAAAAUAAUUUUGACAAGGAGAAAGUUGGAGGACUCACGCUUCUUGAUUUCAAAAUUCACUGCAAAAUUACAGCAAUAGAAACAGUGUUGUUCUGGCAUAAAACACAAGUAGAGACGAGCGGAUUGGAGGAGAAAACCCAGAAAGAAGGCCGCAUACACUUGGUCAACUGAUUUCCAGCAAGAGUGCCAAAAACGGGGGAAAAGACAGGUUUUUCUUUAACAAAUGGUGUUGGGCAAACCGGACAUCCACACGUGCGCGGGAGAAAGAGGCUGGACCCUUACGUGACACCAUAUGCCCAAAUCAGCAGAAAUGGGGUCAAAUACCCAAGCGUAAGAGCUAAGACCGUAAGACUCUUAGAAGAACACACGGGAGAGAAGAUUCAGGACGGACGUCGCAUUUGUGGUGAUUUAUUGGCUCUAACACCCAAAGCACAGGCAACUAGAAAAGCAGAUAAAUUGGACUUUUACAAAAGGAAGCACUUUGGGGCAUCAGAGGGCCCCAUCAGGGGAGUUAAAGACAGCCCACAGAAUGGGAGAAAUGUCUCCCUCACCUGAUGAGGGGCUGACACCCAGGAUCUGUAAAAACUGCUCAGCGACAAAGGAACCAUCCCAUUAAAAAAUGGGCCAAGUCUGUCUCCAGAGACGACGCACAGAUGGCCGGUCAGCGCCCGACUGGAACUCCCCUCGCUCCUCACCAGGGGACACAGGACAAUCGCGAGGUCCCGCAACCAUCAGAAGCGCAGCACAGCGAGCGUCGGCCAGGACGUGACGCCCAGGUUGUGACGCCGAUGGCCGAGCGUGUUGCGGUGGGCGUGGGAGACAAGCAUCCCCCACGGAAACACAGGGGAGUCUCGGAAAGACCCAUGUGGCCCAGCGAUCCCACUCCUAGGGGUUUACGAGGUACUCGUGGUUCGUGAGCACGGCGGCCGCGAGGGACAAGUGACCCCCGUGUGGCCUCCCCAGCAUCGGCCCGCCCGGGGGAGACCACGGCCACCUGCGCCUGCUCGUGCGGUCAGCUCUGCGGCGGGGUCCCUUCCCCGACCCCGUCUCUCCCUGGGGGGCCGGCCUCCCGCCCCUGGCGAGCGGCCCAGCCCCAGGUCUUGAGAUCUGGCGCUUUGCAAAACUACGUUUCUCUGCAGACCAGAGGCGUUCCGCUCAAGCAGCAGACUCUCGUAAUGGCUCAUCUUGGGAUCUGAGCAGAUAAUCCUUCACGGGAGCCUGUGGAGGGGAAGUUAAGGCAAAAAGUUACUGCAUUUCUGGGCUCCUCUUGCCAAAGGCACGAGGCCCUGCUUCUUAUUGGUUUCCCGCGGGCAGGUUUAUUAUUGCGCUUCCUCUUUACUGCUGGUCUCAGUGGAACCAGGGCAGUUUGAGGGGAGAGUCAGAUUCCCCACCUCCGUGCCGUGUCGUCCUUCCACAUCGCGCAGCAAUGCGGAGCCUCGGGUGGCAGAGGGCCGUCGGGACACAGGACAGGGCAGCCAGGCGGGGCGGUGGGGACCAGAGCUUGCGCCCCCCCUACCCCCACCCCCACCCUGAGGGGACCCUGGUGGUUGCCCGGUGGACGGAGUCCAGCGUUGACGAGCCCGCGACCGUUCAAGAGCGUCCAGGUGUGGCACCCUCAGGUGAGAGCUCGGGUGUGUCCAGGUGGCUCUCGUGCAGCACACCCUCUGUCGCCCCGGAUCCACUGUCCCCCGUGUUCACCCCACUCCCUCCCCGCGCCUUGACCUGCGGGCCGUGUGGCCGGGGCUCCCACAUCCUGCCUUGUGGUCAGGCCCCACCCGCGGGAGCUCCCAGAGCUGCGGGUGGGGAGAGAGGUGUGUCUACACUGGCCUGCUACGUCUACCAGAUACGCCUUGUGUCCCCAUGCUGACCAGGGAAGUGUCACUUAUUCCCCAGGUUUGUCUGCCCUGUCCUAGGAUGUCUCUCACGUUUCCAAGGUGUGUGUUAGAACCUGGAACGUCCCUCAGAACUCUGGUGUUUCUACUGUGAACCGUGAUAGCUCCCUCUCUCCCGACUGUGUCUCACCUGACCCGGUGUAUCUGCUCAUAGUUCAGGUACGUCUAUACUGACCUGACAGAGGAUGUUUCAGUGACCCAUGUUUACCAUUACCUGGCUCCCCUCACCUGGCAGGUGUUCAGCUCUCCCCAGCUGUGGCUACCUUCACCUUGUAUGUUUUCUCCAAGCCCGUGUGUGUCUCCACGACCAGGGACGCCUCCCUCGUGCCCCGGGUGUGUCCGUACUAAGCGGGAGCAUCUCCGGUGUGACUGUCGUGUCUAGUGUUGCCCGAGACGUGCACCUCAUUCCCCAGGUUGGUCUUAGUGGAAGGUUCCUCGUUUCCCAGGGCUGGCUGCCUCAUCUUGGGUAUCUGCCUGGUUGCACAGGUGAGUCUACAUGACCUGCGGCGUCUCCCGAUAUCCCUGGCCACGUCUGCCCUGACUUGGUAGGUCGUAUCUACUAGGUGUGUGUGUCCUGACGGGAUGUCUGCCUGUCACAGGUGUUGAUCUCCUGACCUGGGAUGUCUCCCUAGUCCUGAAGUGUGUCUACACCAUGCUGGGAUACCUCCCUUUAUCUGCACUUGGGUCUACACUGACCAGCAGUGCUUUAAUAGCUUAAGUGCCCACCAUAACCUGGUAUGUCUGCCUGAUAUCCCACUGUGUCCACACUGACCUGGAAGGUCUCUGUAACAGGCAUGUCAGAGCAGCUCUGGGACAUGGGUUCUCCAGGUGUUUACUCUGACCUGCGACGUUUUCUGUUGCCCCCUCGUGCAUAGACCCUGACCAUGACUCCUGAAUUCAUCAAAUGCCAGUGUACUCAUUUGAUCUUUUUAGUUGGUUAAAUUCAGUAUUUUUAUAAGCCAAUGUGCACCUUUCAUGAUGGGUUUCAAUUUUUUGCGCGUUGUUUAUACAAGCAAAACCUGUAUUAGACUCUUUACUCUCUGAAUAAGACUGGUACUGCUAAGGGAGGGAAUGAGCUAACUACUGCACAAACACUUACUGUAACUGUAGAUAUUCUGCGAUAGAGAAAGUCACUUCUAUGGAGUUCCAGUGAGAUACAGCUGGAGAAUAGUGAAAACCUAACUUGUAAAGGUAGACACCCCAGGGGAACAGAGUCCACCUCCCUGCUAGGACCAGCAACACUGGAGUGUGGAGGGAGUCCUCGCUCAGGCCAGACACCAUCCUGGGUCACGGAGACGUCACAAGCCUGGAGAAUUGGAGUGACAACCCAGGUCGGGAAAGAUGCCCUUCCAGGCACGUGCGCACACACCUGACUUACUAGGGAGGCCUCAGUGCUUACGGCCUGAACCUGUCUCCCUGAUCAGGGUAGACAGAACUGGGGGGUUAGGGACACUUCCCGGGUCCAUGCAGAAAUAGUUGAGGAAUCAAGGUGACGUCCUCGAUCAUGGUAGCUCCCCCUGGGGAACGAGAGCAUCACGUUAGAAUUGGGAGACACCCCACGUCAGAGUUGAACUACCCGAGGAAGCACUCACUACACGUCCCAUUAGACUUUGUGUCGUGUAAAGAGGCGCCCUGGUAGCCAGAGUGACAAGGGAGACGUCAGGGUGGACGUCCCGCCAGAUCAGCGUGGACAUGCCUGGGGAACUGGGGAACGUCCAGGUCUGGUUAGACAGGGGACUAGACAUCACAGGUCAGUGUAGAUACACCUGGAAAAUGAGGAACACACCCCAGGUCAGGAUAGGCAUACCCUGAGGAUUUAGAAAGUCGUCCUUGUUCGGUGUAGACUCGUCUGCAUAAUCAGAUAUCCCAGCUAUAAACAGCCACACCUCAGCAGUUAGCUGAGAUUAAGGUGGGUGCACCUGGGGAACAGGGAGGUAAACCAUGUCAGCGUAACACGUGGGGUAUUAGGUAGACACAGCAGGUCAAGUGCGGACACCAGGGGGGAUGAGGGGAACAUCCUGGGCUAGUGUAGACGUAACUGGAGUAUCAGAAAGGCAUUCAGAGCAUCAUGGCAGUGUAAGACAUCCCUGCUUUGUGUCUCCCUUUUUGAAUAACUCGUCAGGCAUCCAUCUGUGAACACAAGUGCCUCUGGGAUCCAGCCCCAUAUGCCAAAGGAUCUGGGAAGAGCGUCACCCAACCGUGUACCUGGAAACAGGUAGACAGACCUCUGAGGGGCUGCAAACCAGCGGGAGCCCUCUUGCCGCUAGCGGGGAAGCCUCGAGCGUUCUGACUCGGACAGAAACGCACAGACAAGGAAGGCCGGGGUGGGGGUGGGGUCCAAGCUGCCCCAGGGGCGGCUCCAGCACAUCCCCGGAGUCUCGAUGCACUGGAAAUAGAGGAACUUGGCCGGUGCCACCCCUCCCCAAAGGUGACGCCACGUGGGGCUCAACGAGCAACAGCAGCCUCUCCCACGGUGGGAGGGAGCACCGGGAGUGCCGGCUUCCCCAGCUGUGUGGGGGCUGCAGGAGAACCCCAUUUCUCUCCAGCAGCACCCAGAGUACUGAGGGACGUCCAUGACUCCGGGGGAGAGAGGAUCAGCAGACAGACAGAUGAGAAUAUUAGCACUGAAGUCCAAAUGUGAGCUUCUGGAAGAACCCUACCUGAGGAUCUACCACACCUAGAGUACUGAGCCCACACCUGCCCAGUCUGCCCCCGUGGGCAGAGGACGCACCACACAAGUGUCUGUGGGGCCACCUUCCGGGAAAUGAGGUGAGUUCUCCAGACCAGAGAAGGCCUACAAGCUCAAGAAUUCUGCUACAGGACAGGGCAGGAAGCAAGGACAGGGAUGUCCACACAAGGACAGAAAAAGCCCAGACCCGACAGGCUCGACUAACAGCAUCUCCCACCUGAAAGGGAUCACAAAGACUGAGGCGAUGUCCGCCACUCCUACACCAGAGCAGCACCGCAAAAGUACAACGAACGUGAGUGAAGAAUCAAGGAACGCAUCGUCACCAUAAGGCAACAGUAACCCUCCAACAACCCAACACAAAGGCUGAAGUUUGUGACCCAGCUGAUAAGGGGCCCAAAGAAAACACACAAGAGACAAUUUAACAAAAAUCAGAAAAGCUGUAUGUGCAUGAACAAAAUGAGAAAUUUAACAAUGAGAAAUCACAAAAAGCUGGGAGUAAAGAAUUCAGUGAAUGGGAUGAAAAAUGUAAUAGAGGGCACUCACAGCAGAGUGUGUAAAAUGAAAGACGGAAUCAGUGAGCUACAGGAUAGGAACUUGAAAUAACCCAAUCGGGAUCACAAAGAAUUAAAAAGCAUUACAAAAGCCUAGAAGAUCCAUGCGACUCCAUCAAAAGUACAAGUAUCAGAAAAAUUGCAUUCUGGAAAGAGAAAAGGAGCAGGGAGUUUAAGAAAUAAUGGCUGAAACGUCCCAGACCUGGGGAGACACUUGGGCAGCCAAGUUCAGGAAGCCGAUAGACCACCCUCCUAUCCCGGUGCCAACAGGCCUUCCCCAAAACACACUCACCAUGACAAAACUGUCAAAAAUCCAAGACAGAGAAUCUGAAAAGCAUGCAGAGAAUAUUGUAAUCUACAAAGGAACCCUCACUGGGUAGUCAGUGCAUUUCUCAGCAGAAAGCCUAUAGGCCAGGAGAGAGUGGAUGAUAAUUCAAAGUGCUGUAGGAAAAAAACUGCCUGCCAAGAAUAUCUGGUAAAGUUAUCCUUCAGAAAUGAAGAAAUAGACACUUUUCCAACAAAAGCUGAGUUCAUCGCACUAGACCCUCCUUACAAGAAAUGCUGAGAAGAGUUAUUCCAGCUGAGGUGAAGGGACAUUAAUCAGUGACACGACACACGAGUCAGAUUGCGACGGUAGAUUAGCCACUUUGCUGGAACAUAAAGGUCCAGGCGAAAGAAUAUAAAAAUUACAGCUACUAUGAUUAAUACACAAUACAAAAGAGAAAAACUGUGACAUCAACAAUAUACAAGUGGUAAAGAGUGAGGAUUCUGUGUGUGGAGUCACUGUCAACUUCAAAUGGGCUGUUUUAUCUGAGAUAGAUCAUGUCAGCCUCCUGGUAACCACAGAGCAAAAUUCUGAAGUAGAGGCACAAAAGAGCCAAGGGAAAAGAGAGCAGACCACCACAGAAAAUCGAGAUACAAAACUGGGCAGAAACAGCACAGGGAAAAUUGAAGUGCGAAACAACCAGGAAACAGGUAAUAAGGGCUUCCUAUAGCCACUCUGUUACCAGUAAUCACACUAAAUACAAAUGGACUGAAUUCUCCAAUCGACACACAGUGGUUGAAUGGAUUUCUGAAAAGAGCCAACUGCAUGCUGGCUGUAAGAGACUUGCUUCAGGUUUAAGGACACACAUAGGCUCAAAGUCAAGGGACAGAAGAUGGUAUUUCAUGAGGGUGUAAUCCAAAAGAAAGCAAGGGUAUUUACAUCAGAGAAAAUAGAUUUUGAGCCAAAAACAGUAACAAAAGAGGUCAUUACAUAAUGAUAAAGGGAGUUUAUCAAGAAUAUGACAGUCAAACAUACACACGUUAAAGCACCUAAAUAUAUUAAGCAAAUGCUAACAGAUCUGAAAGGGAAAAAAAGACAACACAAUAAUAGACUCUAAUAGCCCUCUUUCGGCCAUGGAUAUAGAUCAUCCAGACAGAAAAUCAACAAGGAGACAUUGGACUUGAACCAUACAUUAGACCAAAUGGACCUAAUAGACAUUUAUAGAACAUUCUACCUACAGCAGCAGAAUGCACAUUGUUCCCUAAUACACACAUUCUCCAGGACAGAUCAUAUGACAGGCUGCAAAAUGAAUCCUAGCAAAUUUAAGAAGACAAAUUAUAAUCAUCUCUUCUCACUGAAAUGGUACAAAACUGGAAAUCAACACAAAGAGUAAAGCUGGGAAAUCUACAAAUGUGUAAACUAAACAUCACAUUCCUGAACAAUGAAUGGGUCAAAGAAGAAAUCAAUAGGAAAUUAAAAUACCUGCAAACAAAUGACAACAGAAACAUAAUGCACCAAAACCCACGGGAUUCUCCAAAACAAGCUCUGAGAGGGAGGUUUAUAGUAACUAGUGCAAACGUUAAAAUAAAAGCACCUUAAAUAAACAAUGUAACUUUAUGCUUCAAGGAACUAGAAAGGUAAGAACUAAACCCAAAGUCUGCAUAGGGAAGGAAGUAGAUUCUCCAAGAUCAGAGCUGAAACAAAUGAAAUAGAGACCAGAAAAGCAACAGACAAGAUCAAUGACACUAGGAGCUGGGUUUCUGGAAAGAUAAACUUGACAAACCUUUAGCUAGACUAAGAAAAGAAGACUCAAAAUCAGAAAUGAAAGAGAAGGUAUUGCAACUGAUACGACAGAAAUGCAGUAGUCUCAUAAGAGACUACUACCAAGCCUGGAUCAGGAAGAAAUAGAAAAUUUGAAUAGGCCAAUAAUGAGUCAGGAGAUUGAAUCAACAACCAAAAACCUCUCAACACAGAAAACCCCGGGACCAGGUGGCUUCACUGCUGAAAUCUACCAAACGUUUACAGAAGAAUUAAUGCUGUUCCUCCCCCAACACAGUCCCAAAAACUGAAGAGGAGGGGACACUUCCAAACUUAUUUUACAAGGCAAGCAUUACCCCGACAGUAGGUUGACAAAAUAUUAGUAAACUAAGUUCAACACCUAAGACCAGUUAUAUAAUACCACAAGCAACAGACUUAUCCGUGAGAUGCGGGGGUGGUUCAACAUACACUAAGUGAUACAUGUGAGAGUAAAAGAAAAAAAUUCCUAUCAUCUCAGUUAAUGCAGAAUAAGCAUUCAACAGACUAUACCUUUGAUGAUAAAACCUGUUAACAAGUCAUGUGCAGAAGGAACACACUUCAACAUAAUUAAGCUGGUUAACAACGAGCCCACAGCGAACCUCAUACCCAGAAGAAACACUUUGAGUCUUUCACCAUCAAGCUCGGGAACAA